rnacentral:tRNA from 1 species
UGGCUCAGUGGUUAAGAGCACUGGCUGCUCUUCCAGAGGACCUGAGUUCAAUUCUCAG